UAUAAAGCCAGCAGCUAAUGUGGCAGCUCUUCAGUUGUCGGAGAGACCUGCACUCAUCAGCUACACCACUUUAAUCAGGCUAUAGGAAGGUUUGCCGACUACUGCUUCAAAUAAUAAUGAAUAUUAAACUUGUGCUGGUGGUGUUGGUGGCGGUGUUGGGGAUGGUGCUGGCGGCGCCGCAGAUCAUCACCAAGAAGAGAGACUUCCCUGGCCAGAGGCACCUCGGGGUCAGGAACUUCCGUAGCCACACCUUCAGUGAGCGGGGAUUCAGUACCAAACGUUUGGCUAGACUGAACGGGUAGAUGAGCACCAGAGUGUGGGGCCAGACAUGCCCCUUGUUGAUGCUGCCGGAAACUGCGCAACUCUGCUGGCUCGUCGUGACCUGCACAACAAUGGUGGCAGCGUAGUGACCUCCUCGUCAGACAUGACCAGGCGCUGUUUGCAUCAGUCAAGAGAACUGCUGAGGUGUAUCCCCUCAUGUGUUUAUUGUUCCAGUUGUCGGGGACAAGAAGCCUGUACUAAGUGAGGUCAUCUCUAGGCAAGCUACUGACCCCUCUUCAAGAUGCCACCCACAACAGUUGCUUGACUCCUGGGUACUUAUUUAUCUAGCAUCAGGUGAAACGAAACGUGGCCUAUCGUUUAUGUCCUGCCCGGGGGAUUGAACUCUGGUCCUUCGAUUCUACCUUAAUGCUACUUUGAAAUAUGUUUAGUAAAUUAUAUUUAUUUUCAAAUAUUGUUUUAUAAAUUUAUAUUUUUGUAAGUCGAUUGUGUUUGUAAAUGUUUGAGCGUGUUAAUAAACAGUGACAUGACGGUGACCAAUGGCAUGUUAUUGGACAGUAACCAAUGACGUGCUGACAGUAACGAAUGACGUGCUGACAGUAACGAAUGACGUGCUGACAGUAACGAAUGACGUGUUCAGUGUGACCAGUGACGUGUUGACUGAAAAUUGAGUAUCUGCUUUAUUAAUGAUAUAUAAUUAUUAGUAACAAUAAUAAACACGACUAGUAAAUUCCAAAA